rnacentral:rRNA from 1 species
CCUACGGGAGGCUGCAGUCGAGAAUUUUUCUCAAUGGGGGAAACCCUGAAGGAGCGACGCCGCGUGGAGGAUGAAGGCCUUCGGGUUGUAAACUCCUGUCAUUUGGGAACUAGUACCAGAAGAGGAAGAGACGGCUAACUCUGUGCCAGCAGCCGCGGUAAUACAGAGGUCUCAACCGUUGUUCGGAUUCAUUGGGCGUAAAGGGUGCGUAGGCGGUCGCGUAAGUCAGGUGUGAAAUCUCAGGGCUCAACCCUGAAACUGCACUUGAUACUGCGUGGCUCGGGUACUGGAGAGGAGACUGGAAUUUACGGUGUAGCAGUGAAAUGCGUAGAUAUCGUAAGGAAGACCAGUGGCGAAGGCGAGUCUCUGGACAGUACCGACGCUGAGGCACGAAGGUCAGGGGAGCAAAUGGGAUUAGAUACCCUUGUAGUC